UACGAGGGGGGCGAGCGUUGUUCGGAAUUAUUGGGCGUAAAGGGUGCGUAGGCGGUUCGGUAAGUUUCGUGUGAAAUCUUCGGGCUCAACUCGAAGUCUGCACGAGAUACUGCCGGGCUCGAGUCCGGGAGAGGUGAGUGGAACUGCGAGUGUAGAGGUGAAAUUCGUAGAUAUUCGCAAGAACACCAGUGGCGAAGGCGGCUCACUGGCCCGGUACUGACACUGAGGUGCGAAAGCGUGGGGAGCAAACAGG
rnacentral:rRNA from 1 species